GACGAACGUUUGCGGCGUGCUUAACACAUGCAAGUCGAACGGAAAGGCCCUGCUUUUGUGGGGUGCUCGAGUGGCGAACGGUUGAGUAACACGUGAGUAACCUGCCCUUGACUUUGGGAUAACUUCAGGAAACUGGGGCUAAUACCGGAUAGGAGCUCCUGCUGCAUGGUGGGGGUUGGAAAGUUUCGGCGGUUGGGGAUGGACUCGCGGCUUAUCAGCUUGUUGGUGGGGUAGUGGCUUACCAAGGCUUUGACGGGUAGCCGGCCUGAGAGGGUGACCGGCCACAUUGGGACUGAGAUACGGCCCAGACUCCUACGGGAGGCAGCAGUGGGGAAUAUUGCACAAUGGGCGGAAGCCUGGUGCAGCAACGCCGCGUGCGGGAUGACGGCCUUCGGGUUGUAAACCGCUUUCGCCUGUGACGAAGCGUGAGUGACGGUAAUGGGUAAAGAAGCACCGGCUAACUACGUGCCAGCAGCCGCGGUGAUACGUAGGGUGCGAGCGUUGUCCGGAUUUAUUGGGCGUAAAGGGCUCGUAGGUGGUUGAUCGCGUCGGAAGUGUAAUCUUGGGGCUUAACCCUGAGCGUGCUUUCGAUACGGGUUGACUUGAGGAAGGUAGGGGAGAAUGGAAUUCCUGGUGGAGCGGUGGAAUGCGCAGAUAUCAGGAGGAACACCAGUGGCGAAGGCGGUUCUCUGGGCCUUUCCUGACGCUGAGGAGCGAAAGCGUGGGGAGCGAACAGGCUUAGAUACCCUGGUAGUCCACGCUGUAAACGGUGGGUACUAGGUGUGGGGUCCAUUCCACGGGUUCCGUGCCGUAGCUAACGCUUUAAGUACCCCGCCUGGGGAGUACGGCCGCAAGGCUAAAACUCAAAGGAAUUGACGGGGCCCCGCACAAGCGGCGGAGCAUGCGGAUUAAUUCGAUGCAACGCGUAGAACCUUACCUGGGUUUGACAUGGAUCGGGAGUGCUCAGAGAUGGGUGUGCCUCUUUUGGGGUCGGUUCACAGGUGGUGCAUGGCUGUCGUCAGCUCGUGUCGUGAGAUGUUGGGUUAAGUCCCGCAACGAGCGCAACCCUUGUUCACUGUUGCCAGCACGUUAUGGUGGGGACUCAGUGGAGACCGCCGGGGUCAACUCGGAGGAAGGUGGGGAUGACGUCAAGUCAUCAUGCCCCUUAUGUCCAGGGCUUCACGCAUGCUACAAUGGCUGGUACAGAGAGUGGCGAGCCUGUGAGGGUGAGCGAAUCUCGGAAAGCCGGUCUCAGUUCGGAUUGGGGUCUGCAACUCGACCUCAUGAAGUCGGAGUCGCUAGUAAUCGCAGAUCAGCAACGCUGCGGUGAAUACGUUCCCGGGGCU
rnacentral:rRNA from 1 species